CUCCAUGUCUCUGGAUGAACAGCAGCAGGUGAUAUGUGAUUUACUAAAUCUUACUCAGCAGCGGCGAGGUGAGGUGAAGAGUGUGUGUCAGUGUGUGUGCGAGCGUGUGCGUUAAGCCUCCGGCUGCUGAAAAGGUUAGAUAUAUUGAUUUUGUUCCUAAGAGACAGACUGGAACAGGGAGACAAAUGGACUACAGUCGAGGAGCUGUCUCAUCGGGGCCCCUACCAUGUCAGUCCCCUUAAGGAGGUCUGUAAUACCUGGAGAGGACCAUCCUAGAGAGAGAAAUCCUUCUCACAGCUGUUUCUCAGCUGGCGCAGGAUCUACCAGAGGAGGUCUGUAAUACCUGGAGAGAGAAAUCCUUCUCGCAGUCGUUUCUCAGCUGGCGCAGGAACCACCAGAGAGAAAGAGAGCGGGAGUGAUAGAAAGAGUGAGAGAGCGAGUCUUUGAACAAGUAUGCCUCUCCCUCCAGUUCCAGGACCUCUCCACUUUAGACACCUGAAGAAGGCCCACUUCAGAAGGUGUGAAACAUCAAAGCUUCUGUUCAGUCACACGCACACACACUCCCCUUCAUUUCCCCCUCUCUCUCACACACAGACACUGGCAAAUAUUCUUGCAUUGCUGUGACAUUUUUCCUACCCUGCGUUGGCAAAAAGUACCAAAAAAAAAGUAACAAAGGAGAUUGAGAGAGCAUGCUAGGACACUGAAACAUCUCUAGCGUUUUCUCUCCGGUCAGCAGAGCAGUUUGGACUAACAGGACUUUGAAAGGCAUCAAAAAUCGAGUAUGUGGACAAAGACACAUCUCUUAUUGCAGGA